UUGACAUCGUUUAUUCUUUAACCUAAUUUAGUGAGUAAGGGUCCUGAGACUGACUGUUAAUAAGCUGGCAAAUUUAUCAGUAACAGUACAAUCAGUAUGAUGACAAGUCACAUCAUACCCCUUCUCCUUU
rnacentral:sRNA from 1 species